GAUCAUUGCAUCGAUAGAGUUUCUACUGUCCAGGGUCGACCGUUCGAGGCUUCGGCUCUGGGAGCGGUGCGCGUUUCGGGUCGACGACGCGGGCGUCGUCGUCGAGGUUUGGGGGUCUCGGUGUUUUGGUGGUGGCGGCCGCGUGGCCGCGAGCGCGCUUGCCGUCGGCGAGGCGUCGAGGCGGAAGGCCCUGCGUUCUUCGCAGAGCCCGAAGCCGCGACCUCUCGCUCGGCGCGAGUCGCCCGCGUCUCCGGGUCCGCCCGCCGCCUCCCUCCGUUUCUCCCUCGCGUCGGCGCGACCCCGCCUCUUCUUCCCCUCUCUCGCUCCUUCUCCCGGAGCGCGUUCGUCGCCUCGGCCCCCGCUUCGCCCGCUCGGCCCUCGCUCGGCCGCGGGAGGCGAGCGUCGCGGGGCGUCGUCGACCGCCCUUUUUGCCCCAUCCCGAAUCCGGCGAGAACCCCCCCCUUUCUCGACCUCACAUUCAAGAUCGAAGAAAAACCCCACCGGUGCGAGUCGCGCGGGCCUCGGUCCGCUCGGCUUUGCGCCGCUUCAUAACCUAGAACAACUCUCAACGACGGAUGUCUAGGCUCCCGCAUCGAUGAAGAACGCAGCGAAACGCGAUACGUAGUGUGAAUUGCAGAGCCCGCGAAUCAUCGAAUCUUUGAACGCACCUUGCGCCCGCGGCUUCGGCCGGGGGCAUGUCUGCCUCAGCGUCCCGCAUUCUUGCACUCCCCCUCCCCCGCUCCCUCGCGGAGCCGGAGGCGGGAGCGCGACCUGGCGGUCUCGGCCUUUGAGUCUUCGAAGGCCGCGUCCGCCGAAGCGGAGCGCGAACCUCGCCGCGAGCCGUCGCGGCCGCGGUCGGAACUUUGACGGUGAUCCUCGUCGGUCUUCGCUCUCUAGUUUCGGCCCCGGUCGACCGGCGCGUCUCUCGGUCGGGAACACGCCAACGCCAGGAAGGGACGGCGCGGGGCGCGCGGGGGCGGUGGGCGGCGGCGGCGGCGGUGCGCGCGGGGCGGGUUCUCCCCCCCCCGCGCGAGCGUCCUCCUCCUCCUUCUGCCGCCUUCGGGCGCCUCGUCGCUCCCUGAUCGU
rnacentral:misc_RNA from 1 species